rnacentral:rRNA from 1 species
UCCUACGGGAGGCAGCAGUGGGGAAUAUUGCACAAUGGGGGAAACCCUGAUGCAGCAACGCCGCGUGAGUGAAGAAGUCAUUCGUGAUGUAAAGCUCUAUCAGCAGGGAAGAAAAUGACGGUACCUGAGUAAGAAGCCCCGGCUAACUACGUGCCAGCAGCCGCGGCAAUACGUAGGGGGCAAGCGUUAUCCGGAAUUACUGGGUGUAAAGGGAGCGUAGACGGUGAUGCAAGUCUGGAGUGAAAGGCG